UACGGGGGGGGCAAGCGUUGUUCGGAAUUACUGGGCGUAAAGGGCUCGUAGGCGGCCAACUAAGUCAGACGUGAAAUCCCUCGGCUUAACCGGGGAACUGCGUCUGAUACUGGAAGGCUUGAGUAUGGGAGAGGGAUGUAGAAUUCCAGGUGUAGCGGUGAAAUGCGUAGAUAUCUGGAGGAAUACCGGUGGCGAAGGCGGCAUCCUGGACCAUUACUGACGCUGAGGCGCGAAAGCUAGGGGAGCAAACGGG
rnacentral:rRNA from 1 species